rnacentral:rRNA from 1 species
UACGGGGGGGGCAAGCGUUGUUCGGAAUUACUGGGCGUAAAGGGCUCGUAGGCGGCCAACUAAGUCAGACGUGAAAUCCCUAGGCUCAACCUGGGAACUGCGUCUGAUACUGGAUGGCUUGAAUCCGGGAGAGGGAUGCAGAAUUCCAGGUGUAGCGGUGAAAUGCGUAGAUAUCUGGAGGAAUACCGGUGGCGAAGGCGGCAUCCUGGACCGACAUUGACGCUGAGGAGCGAAAGCCAGGGGAGCAAACGGG